rnacentral:rRNA from 1 species
AACGAACGCUGGCGGCAUGCCUAACACAUGCAAGUCGAUCGAGACCUUCGGGUCUAGUGGCGCACGGGUGCGUAACGCGUGGGAACCUGCCCUUAGGUUCGGAAUAACUCCCCGAAAGGGGUGCUAAUACCGGAUAAUGUCUUCGGACCAAAGAUUUAUCGCCUUUGGAUGGGCCCGCGUUGGAUUAGCUAGUUGGUAGGGUAAAAGCCUACCAAGGCGACGAUCCAUAGCUGGUCUGAGAGGAUGAUCAGCCACACUGGGACUGAGACACGGCCCAGACUCCUACGGGAGGCAGCAGUGGGGAAUAUUGGACAAUGGGCGAAAGCCUGAUCCAGCAAUGCCGCGUGAGUGAUGAAGGCCUUAGGGUUGUAAAGCUCUUUUACCCGGGAUGAUAAUGACAGGACCGGGAGAAUAAGCUCCGGCUAACUCCG